rnacentral:lncRNA from 1 species
GGAGCCUGAGCAUUUCUUAAGAAGAAUACCUAGAAACAUCUGGGGUCCUUCUAUUUCAUUGUCUUACAAUUAUUAGGCUUUGUGUAAACGCUCGCAGAUUGAAUGACGAAAUAAAAGAAGAAACUACAGCACAGUCAAUUUUCUCCAUGACAGCCUGAGAGAUGUAGCUGGUGCUGCCACUUUUCCUUCAUUUUUCCCUGCCUUGAAUAUGGUGGUGAUGCCUGGAGCUUCAGCAGCCAUCUUAUGGCCAUGAAAUGGCAAGCAUGAGAAUGAAAGAAAAUGCACUCAUCAUGAAAGGAGGAAGAGCAGAAGAAAUCUGGGUCACUGGUGAUAUCAAUGGAUAGCUGAAGCAGUGUGGGCUGCUCUGGAUGGAAAAUGCCCUGGGUUCUCCGAGACUUAACACCCCGCCUUGUGAACGCGAGCAAGAUUAUUCUCUCUGAGCAGCUCUUUUCACAUGUGAUAAGCUUGGCAAGUUGCCCUGGAUUGAAUUCUCACCCACUGUCUUCACCCAACCCAGCAGAGAAGAAGGCUUGUGACUGUGUAAGGUGAAAAUGGAUAUACCAUUUCUGGGAAGAGAAAAGAAGCCAAUUAAAAGUGGGGCAUGUCAUUACACUGACCAGAAAUGAACGUACCUUUUUAGAAAUAAAGAAUCUGUAUAUUCCUGUGGCUCUG